GUAGCGUAUAUUAAAGUUGUUGCAGUUAAAAAGCUCGUAGUUGGAUUUCUGACGAACCGGAGUGGCCCGUUUCCUUUCUGGGAAUGAGUGCCGCUUUGAGUUUGUCAUCCUUCCAGAGAGCUGCGUCUACCGUUCAUUCGGCCGGACGUAUGCGAUCUGGAUCUAUUACUUUGAAAAAAUUAGAGUGUUUAAAGCAGGCUUAUGCUAUGAAUACAUUAGCAUGGAAUAAUAAUUUAGGACUUUGGUUCUAUUUUGUUGGUUUCUAGGACUGAAGUAAUGAUUGAUAGGGAUAGUUGGGGGUGCUAGUAUUCCGCGGCCAGAGGUGAAAUUCUUGGAUUCGUGGAAGACUAACUACUG
rnacentral:rRNA from 1 species